rnacentral:rRNA from 1 species
CCUAAGGUAGCGAAAUUCCUUGUCGGGUAAGUUCCGACCCGCACGAAAGGCGUAACGAUUUGGGCACUGUCUCAACAACAGACUCGGUGAAAUUGUAAUCCCGGUGAAGAUGCCGGGUACCUGCGACAGGACGGAAAGACCCCAUGGAGCUUUACUGUAGCUUGACAUUGGGUUUCGAUACUACAUGUACAGGAUAGGUGGGAGACUAAGAAAUCAGGGCGUCAGUUUUGAUGGAGUCACCCUUGGGAUACCACCCUUGUAGUAUUGGGACUCUAACCAUAGGCCAUGAAUCUGGUCUUGGGACACUGUCUGGUGGGCAGUUUGACUGGGGCGGUCGCCUCCCAAAAGGUAACGGAGGCGCUCAAAGGUUCCCUCAGUACGGUCGGAAAUCGUACGAAGAGUGUAAAGGCAAAAGGGAGCUUGAUUGCAAGACAUACAGGUCGAGCAAGGUAGAAAUACGGACUUAGUGAUCCGGUGGUUCUGAGUGGAAGGGCCAUCGCUCAACGGAUAAAAGCUACCCUGGGGAUAACAGGCUUAUCUCCCCCAAGAGUUCACAUCGACGGGGAGGUUUGGCACCUCGAUGUCGGCUCAUCGCAUCCUGGGGCUGUAUUCGGUCCCAAGGGUUUGGCUGUUCGCCAAUUAAAGCGGUACGCGAGCUGGGUUCAGAACGUCGUGAGACAGUUCGGUCCCUAUCCGUUGUGGGCGCAGGAAAUUUGAGAGGAGCUGUCCUUAGUACGAGAGGACCGGGAUGGACGUACCUCUGGUGUACCGGUUGCAGACCAACUGCACAGCCGGGUAGCUAUGUAUGGAACGGAUAAACGCUGAAGGCAUCUAAGCGUGAAGCCGCCCUCAAGAUAAGAUUUCCCAUUCUUCGGAAGUAAGAUCCCUUAAAGAUAAUGAGGUUGAUAGGUUGGAGGUGUAAGCAUGGUAACAUGUUCAGCUGACCAAUACUAAUAGAUCGAGGGCUUGACCAA